CUUUUUCAAGCUUGGCAGAAAUCCUUCACAGAAGUAAUGACCUGAACUUGCAGAAGAGGGAGCUAAAGCUCGGAGAAGUUAAACAAACUCAAGAGAAUGUUACCAGUGGUGGAAGCGGGAUCCCAGCCCAGAUCUGUGCAGCCUGUAGCCGUGGAAAUUUAGAUCUUGUUGAAUGAAUGUCUGCUGGUUCCAGUUCCUCGUGCCUGAUGUCCAAACCCAUGAAUCUACCUACCUACCACCCCCACCAGCCUGCCACCUGUUGGGCACCUAGUGAUGCCUCGCCUCUGCAUUCAAGGAACCAGAGUUGGUGCUUUGCUGAUGAAGAUGCUUUACUCUGCUGACACUCCCCUUCUCCAAACCAUGGCAGGAAGAUGUGCAUUUUCGUCUUGAAGAUAUUCUAAGCCAAGAAGGCAAGUCUCCUAUAUUUCUUCAGAUGCUUUUAUUAAGUGAAACAUUUUCUGUUGUAUUUGAAGCCACUUGUUCUGCUUCAGUUUUCUCUAAACGCUGAGGAAUAUUGAUUAGGAUUUCUCUGAGAAACAUAUUUGUCCAUUUGUCAAUGGACUCUUGUGUGUGUGUUGUGGAUAAAGACUAGAGUAGCAACAAUAAUCAUCUUGUCAACACUCUGUCAUAGGGGUAAAUCAUGUUUCCCAACAGCAGUGCACACAAGAGGUCAGGGUGUGACUGACUCUGGCCUCUAUGCCUAUUCUUCAGACUCAUUUAGCCAACCCAACUCCACCUUGCAUUCAUAUUUCUGAGAUUUUUACUGUGAAGGACAUGUCCCCUGCACAUGCCCUUCACAAACGUUAUAGUGUACUUUCUAAUACUGUAAUUAUCAUUUUCCACAUUCAUGGAAACAUUGAUUUAUAUCUUUAAAGCAGUAGCACACCUAAUUCUUGGAUGUUUCUUCUGAAAAUGUAAGUUGGUUUUAUUAAUCGAUCUGCAAAUGUGUUUGGAGAUUCUGCUAUAUACAAGGCUUCAUGUUUUUGAAAUAACAAAAUAUUGAAAAAUGUUUGGGAAUAGCGAAAAAGUUGCGAUGUAAAAAUCCACUGUUUAAGGUCAAUGCUUGGAUGAUCUUGGGAAAGACAUGGUUAAAAAAUAAUGCCCAGGGCUACUUCUGUGGAGCUCUUUACCAGAGAUGGGAGGUUACAUACUGGUGUAACUCGAAGCUCCCCAGGGCACUGAGAAAGCAGAGGGUGUAUUUUCAGCUCUGUCUCCAAGCAGAAAAUUACUUUUCAUACCAGUAUUGGAUUAAGUGGCUUAUGGUGCCGUCCCUUUGGGACACUAAACCAUUAGUGAGAAAUAACACAUCAUUGGAAAGCAGGCAAAAUGUUUGUUUAGUGUGAUUAUCAGAAGCCUUUUAGGAUAGUUCUCAUGUGUUUGGAAGGAAUACUUUGAUAGGCCAGUGCCUCGGAAUCUUAAUGAGGGACAUGCUCGAGUACCAGCAGGUCACUAAUCUGCCUCUGGAGAGGCAGGUUUGGUCCCCCGGUGGAGGCAGGGAGGGGAUGGGGUUCAACCCGUGCCCAUUCUUCCCCAAGCAGCACUUAGCCUCCUCCCCUAGAAGAGCACUGGACAAAGACAAUACUCAUUUCAAGGAACUCCAGAUUCUCAGUGUGCCCCAUGUUAGACAUGUGCUGAGCACAGUGUCUGUUUCAUUGUCAGUGGUGUGUGGGUGAGGUGCUCCCCAGUGUCCAGAGAGGGCAGAACUGAGGAAGCUGUGUCCUCUGCAUGGUUCCGUCUCUACGAGGCUACACUGAGCCUGAGUGUGACACCUUACAUUUAUGUCUCUGGAAAAGUCCUGCAUUUGAAGUAAAUUUUCCUACCAAAGAAGUACUGUAAUAUUAAGGUAUUUAUUUGGCCAAUGGCAUCAUACCAAAUAAUUUUAGUAGACUUGCAAAUAAAUUACAUUCAUUUGCUCAAGGGUGUAAAGCCAUACCUCAAAUAGUCUUCAUAAACAAGGUUGUGUUAUUAAGGAAACAUGCCAGAACACUGUUU